rnacentral:rRNA from 1 species
AGAGUUUGAUCCUGGCUCAGGAUAAACGCUGGCGGCGCACAUAAGACAUGCAAGUCGAACGAACUUAAUUGAGAGCUUGCUCUCAAAGCGGUUAGUGGCGGACUGGUGAGUAACACGUAAGCAACCUGCCUAUUAGAGGGGAAUAACAGCGAGAAAUCGUUGCUAAUACCGCAUAUGCUGUGAGUAUCGCAUGAUACAAGCAGGAAAGGAGCAAUCCGCUAAUAGAUGGGCUUGCGUCUGAUUAGUUAGUUGGUGGGGUAACGGCCUACCAAGACGAUGAUCAGUAGCCGGACUGAGAGGUUAAACGGCCACAUUGGGACUGAGAUACGGCCCAGACUCCUACGGGAGGCAGCAGUCGGGAAUAUUGCGCAAUGGAGGAAACUCUGACGCAGUGACGCCGCGUGCAGGAAGAAGGUUUUCGGAUUGUAAACUGCUUUUAACAGGAAAGAAAAAAAUGACGGUACCUGUUGAAUAAGCUCCGGCUAACUACGUGCCAGCAGCCGCGGUAAUACGUAGGGAGCGAGCGUUAUCCGGAUUUAUUGGGUGUAAAGGGUGCGUAGACGGAAAUGCAAGUUAGUUGUGAAAUACCUCGGCUUAACUGAGGAACUGCAACUAAAACUAUAUUUCUUGAGUAUCGGAGGGGUUUGUGGAAUUCCUAGUGUAGCGGUGAAAUGCGUAGAUAUUAGGAAGAACACCGGUGGCGAAGGCGGCCUGCUGGACGAAAACUGACGUUGAGGCUCGAAGGCGUGGGGAGCAAACAGGAUUAGAUACCCUGGUAGUCCACGCGGUAAACGAUGAAUACUAGGUGUUGGUGCCCGAAGGGCAUCGGUGCCGUCGCAAACGCAAUAAGUAUUCCACCUGGGGAGUACGUUCGCAAGA